rnacentral:lncRNA from 1 species
AUGAGGAGGACUUUACCCCCUUCUCCCCGGCUCUUCUGGGGCUGCGGAGCACAGUCACAUUUGCCAUCGCCUGUCGGAGACCUUGCAAGCUGUGACAGGGCAUCUGCUCUGAGCCGGAUGCCGUUGAGAAGCAGAACUGGCUGUGAAAACAAGACUUGGGGGGUGGGGGGGAUAGGCUGGAGACCCCAGCGUGGGGCGGGAUUCUGCAGGGCGGGUGGGUCUGGGAGAGGGCCGUGGGGCUCUCCGCAGGCAGGCCAGGCCCGGGAGGAGGCUGCUGGCUCCCCAGGCCCAGGGCCGAACCACUGUCCAGCACGCAGACCUGUUAGGGUAAAUUCCGCGGGCCCCUCGGAGAGAGCUUGGAGCGGGUCCUGCUGUGCCAUUUCUAGACAUCAGCUUCCGCUACUCUGGCUAAGCCGGGCUAGGACUGAUUUCGCAGCCUCCUCGCCUUCUCCGAGGAGCCGCGGGAAGCGGGGAGCCGCGGCCCGGCAGCGGCGGGGCCUGCGGGGUCGGUGGGCCCGGCCCGGUUCCCAGACGCGCAGGUCUCGGCGAUCGGUGGCCCAGGCCAGCUCCCUGCAGAGGGGAGAGCGCUCCCGGCCCGGCCUGCUGCUCAGGCGCCUUUCCUGGCUCCUCUGCUGCGUGUGCCCAAGCAGCCGGGGCCUCAACCGUGGGGUGCGGCUGGGGUUCCCCGGGGCGAGCGGCCCGGUCUGGGAGCCGCAGUCGCCCCCCUUAGGGCCGGAGCCUGCGCUGUCCACGGCUGAGCGCCUGGUCCGGGGAGGGGAGGGCAGCGCGGCCGCCUCGGCCGAGCCGUGCCCAGGUGCAUGCGGGUGCGAGGCUCGGCCCGGGGAGCCUGAUGCUCCACCGCCGCGUCCGGAGCCGCCCCCGACAGGCAGCCUCCAGAAUUGCCCAUCCGUGGGCCAGUCGGGUGCAAGGCUGGGCCAGGGUCAGAGGUCGUGGGGGGAGAGCCCCAGCGCCCCCACCCCCCGCCGGCGGCCGGGCUGGGGCUGCGGCGAGAUGGGGGCUUUCCUUGGGCUCCGCGCCCACCCGUGUCUGCUCCGGGGAGUGGGCCCGGGUCCACGCUCGCUGCCCCUCCUCCUAGCCCCCAGGCCUGGCUGCGCUCCGGGGCUGGAUGGCGUGAAAGUUUCAGCCUCAAUCAGUACAAUCUUCCCUCGGGGUCACGUGAACAAAUAUGCUCGCAUUUGA